UCCAUUCUCUCCAGACGCUCUCACACCCCACGUCCUCAUCCACUACGACCCACAUCCAGAUUCGAACUACUGAGCAUCGAAGAUCCAGAUCUGAAGAAUCAAGAUACGAAUAUUAAAGAUCGAGAUCUGAAAGUCGACGUUUCAAGUUUCAAAACAUGGAAGCUUUUUAUAUACGAUUUGGAAGCUGUUUAUGUACGAUUUGGAAGCUGUUUAGUGUUAAUGUUUGUUUAAAUCAUCGUAGCUGUUCUUUUUUUUUUCUUAUGGUUUUGUUCCCUAUAUUUGUUCCAACUUCCAACAGUAGAUUAAUUCACAAAUACCUUGUAUUUUGAUUCAAGAGUAAAGUUGCUCCAUAGAUUUAUUCACAAAUACUUUGUAUUUUGAUUUUUGGAAACAUAUUUGAUUCAGUUGAACUUUGAACAGAUCUUUUUAUUUGC